AACAAAAAUGUCCAGCACCUCCAAGAAUCAUCUAUGGAGAAAUUAAAUCCUUAGUCCAUACAGAAUACCCUUCGGGAUCGAGAGUAGACUAUCAAUGUCAGCAGCUUUACAAGCCUCAGGGAAAUCUAACAAUUGUAUGUGAAAAUGGAAGUUGGUCAGAUGUCCCUGUUUGUUUGGGUGAGUAAACUAACAAUGUUUCGCUUAAGGUAAAUAUAUAUAGUAAUCAGGGGUGGAAGAACCACUGGAAAAUUAUUUAAUCAGAACAGAGUAAAAAAAAAGAAUAUUCAUCAACAAUGCACAGUGUUGUACAUUUUACUGCAAAAUGUCUUUUAAUGUAAUGCUCAUUGUGUAUUAUUGCAUUGCUGAGCUCCACAACAAUAAAACAAGCUAGUACAUUUGGGUUGAUACUGUAGGGAAUAAUGUGGAGUAGUUGGCAUUGUGGAAGAUAAGAUGGAAACAAAUCCAUACAGUACCUCCCAUUCUCUCUUUUAUUACCUACAGUAUCCCACUAUAAUAAAAUGGAAGUCAGGUAGAUAAAACCCUGCAACGUUAACAACCUUACAUCUUAUUUCUCCACAGGCCUUGUUAUUGGCCUAUAUCUGCUUUCUAUUUCACUUCCAGUACCCAAAUUUCCUCCCCUGCCAAAGUCCCGUCCUCUUCUAAAGUCUAAACCCAUGUCCCCGCAUCUUACUAGGUCUCUAUGUCACUUCCUCUUGUUAAGUCUCUGGGCCCCCUUCACUUCCUAUGGCCCUAUGCCCUCUCCUUUCUAUGUAUCCCUUCUUUCCCCAAAUCCCCAUGUACACAGUAAAUUAUGGAGAACAAGCCGAAUGAGGAGAGAAUGCAUAGUCUUGCUACAAGACAAUAAGUGAGUGUUUGGAUUUACUGUAACAUACACUUUGGAGCUCUGUUGGGGUUUUGGCGAAAGGGCAGAGUCCAAUAUUAAGCAAAUUUUAAUCCUGGGAAUCCAUCCAAUAAUGGCUACGACAAAAAGCAAAGUCGGGGUCAGAAUCCAGGUCAGGAGCAUUGUAAGCAUUGUUAGAAUAUAAAUGCCAAGUUCAGAUAUUUGGUAAGACACAGAAUACAGGAUAUAGCAACAGAAUAGUUGGGAUGUCAGAGCCAAGGGCAACAGCCAAAUGUGUAGAGUAAUAGUAGUAAUGGAUACAGGCUGCAAAGGAUCUAUGUAACACAAAACCAUGCAGACCAGGGGACUCAGUCGAACGACUUGGUGUUCUCAUGGUAAUUCCUAAAUAGGAAAAGUGAACUACAAUAAUCUGAAAUAAUUUAUUAGAAAACAAAGAGCCAGUAUGACUUCACUGAGCCUGACAACUGAGUAAUUUAACCCUUACUUGAGAGACAUUCUAACACCUAAGUUCUUAUGUCCCCUCUCUCUCCAAACCCCCAUACCACUGUGAGAAGAGUCCUUAUGUCCCCUCGUCUUUCCAAAUGCCUGUAUUCCCUCCUAUCACAAAGCCUAAUUCAUUUUCUUACAACUGAAGUGGCCUCAUGCCUGCAUAUGGAGCAGGAUGGGGAGAGAGGGUGGCUGUGGGACAAAUGAAGGGGAGAGAGGUUGGCUAUGGGGCAAAUGAAGGGGAAGGCCCGGUGGAUUCUAGUUACGCCUCUGAUUGUAAACAUGUCUUGGGGGGAGAACAAGCCCCAAUGCCCCUUGAUCUGCACUUGCUAGUAGUUUUUAAGGUAUCACAGUGUUGAAUUGUGAGCAAUUUCAUCAAUGCAUUUCUUUUCUUGCAAAUGCCGUGUCUUACUUAUUUUGUAUUUCUCUAGAUUUGCAACAUUUGUGCUUGUGUUUAGAAUUAAAAUGAAGAAAUGAGUGGAAAUUGUCUCCUCUGUUUUCAGAACCAUGCACAGUAAGUCAGAAAGACAUGACAAAAAAUAACAUACAGCUAAGGUGGAAAACAGAUAAUAAAUUGUAUUCUGAACAUGACAACAUUGUGGAAUUUAUCUGCUCCCCUGGAUUUGAAAUUCAGCCAUCUUCAACGCUUCGAGUUAAAUGCAACAGAGGAAAAUUAAUGUACCCUAGAUGCUUUAAGCAAGG
rnacentral:lncRNA from 1 species